rnacentral:rRNA from 1 species
CCAGACUCCUACGGGAGGCAGCAGUGGGGAAUAUUGCACAAUGGGGGAAACCCUGAUGCAGCGACGCCGCGUGAGCGAAGAAGUAUUUCGGUAUGUAAAGCUCUAUCAGCAGGGAAGAAAUUGACGGUACCUGAGUAAGAAGCUCCGGCUAAAUACGUGCCAGCAGCCGCGGUAAUACGUAUGGAGCAAGCGUUAUCCGGAUUUACUGGGUGUAAAGGGAGCGUAGACGGCGGUGCAAGCCAGAUGUGAAAGCCCGGGGCUCAACCCCGGGACUGCAUUUGGAACUGUGCUGCUAGAGUGUCGGAGAGGCAGGCGGAAUUCCUAGUGUAGCGGUGAAAUGCGUAGAUAUCAGGAGGAACACCGGUGGCGAAGGCGGCCUGCUGGACUGCGACUGACGUUGAGGCCCGAAAGCGUGGGGAGCAAACAGGAUUAGAUACCCCAGUA